rnacentral:rRNA from 1 species
GGGCCCUACAACAACACGUAAAGUUUUGGGAUGAUCCGACGUUCUUUCAUGGGGUUACGGACAAUACUUGUAAUAUAACUUUGUUUUGAUUACCUUGUUCAAGUGAUCUAGAUAACGUUGUCACACCCUGAAAUAUCAGAGCAUUGGCGUGACUGGACUGGUAUCUUCAUUGCACAGCGGAAGCAAAUAAGCUAAGACUUUUAGAAUGCGAACGCCACUAAUUACUCGUAUCUCCAAUGGUUCUAUUCCAACUGUACCUUGUUUUAGAAAUGCAACCUGAGAAAGAAACAUGCGAAAAAUCAACAUAAAGUUGAGCGAGUUCAUAGUUUGUUUGUAAAAGAUUUGAAAUAAAUCUUUUUGAAUAACCGGUUUUUGAAAUAUGGUUGAGAAAACGAAUUUAAAAUCAUUUUCUUGUCAUGUUGUAUGGAAACUUUGAAUGAAAACAUGGUAUGUAUCUUGUAUAAAUCAAGUAUUCUCGUACAAAUCAAGUAUUCUUGUGUAAAUCAAGUAUUCUUGUAUAAAUCAAGUAUUCUCGUACAAAUCAAGUAUUCUUGUGUAAAUUAAGUAUUCUCGUACAAAUCAAGAAUUCUUGUGUAAAUCAAGUAUUCCUGUAUGAAUCAACUAUUCCUGUAUAAAUCAAGUAUUUUUGUAUCAAGUAUUUCUGUAUAUAUCUUGUUGUUAAUGGGUUGCAAGGCCAUUAACGUGUGACACGACAUAGGAAGCAACCAGACCUUAGGCAUUUUUCUAGUUGGCAUAUGCUGAGACACAAAAGCACUGCUUGGUACUCUUUCUCACCAAGAGUGUGGCUCCCCGAAACCCGUUAGAUCUAACCUUUUGUUCUGCGGUCUAGGUAUAUUGUUGAUUAAUGGUGCUUAUAGUACCCUAUUCGUGACACGAUUUCUCGUAUCAUGUAUCAUUUCUCGUAUCAUUUCUCCGUUUAAGGUACCUCUUGGUACUUGUAUUUUCCCGUAUUUUAGAAAACUAGAAUUCGUGUGUAUGCAUAUUUCGAAAAAUAUGCUUGU